GGUUGUGUCGGUCAGUGGUAGGGCGCAUGCUUUGCAUGUAUGAGGUCCUGGGUUCAAUCCCCAGCAUCUCCA